AUCUGUUCUUAUCAGUUUAAUAUCUGAUAUGUCCUCUAUUCGAGGACAACAUAUUAAGGUGAUUUUUGGAACUGGGGGCCGAAAAAGGGGCUUGCUCCGUUCGCUCC
rnacentral:snRNA from 1 species